AUCCAGCUGACGAAGCCUAAAUGGGACGAAACGCGUGUCUUGGAU
rnacentral:hammerhead_ribozyme from 1 species